UAGCCGUAAACGAUACUCGCUAGGUGUCGGCCACGGUGCGACCGUUGUCGGUGCCGUAGGGAAGCCGUGAAGCGAGCCACCUGGGAAGUACGGCCGCAAGGCUGAAACUUAAAGGAAUUGGCGGGGGAGCACCACAACGGGUGGAGCUUGCGGUUUAAUUGGAUUCAACGCCGGAAACCUUACCGGGACCGACAGCAACAUGAAGGCCAGGCUGAAGACUUUGCCGGAUUAGCUGAGAGGUGGUGCAUGGCGUAGUCGUGU
rnacentral:rRNA from 1 species